UACGUAGGAUGCAAGCGUUGUCCGGAAUUAUUGGGCGUAAAGAGCUCGUAGGCGGUUUGUCGCGUCUGCUGUGAAAACUGGGGGCUCAACCCCCAGCCUGCAGUGGGUACGGGCAGACUAGAGUGCGGUAGGGGAGAUUGGAAUUCCUGGUGUAGCGGUGGAAUGCGCAGAUAUCAGGAGGAACACCGGUGGCGAAGGCGGGUCUCUGGGCCGAUACUGACGCUGAGGAGCGAAAGCGUGGGGAGCGAACGG
rnacentral:rRNA from 1 species